ACCAGUAUGAGUUUGGCCCUAUUAUGGUAACUUAUGGGGUGAAUCAUUCCAUGUCAUGUGUUCUUCCCUUUCCCUCCAGACCCCACUGCAGAGCAGAAACCCCAGCUCAGCAGGAUUUUCCCUGUUGUGAUGGCACAGGAAGAGCUCUUUCCAUGCAAACAGCCACCUCUCCUGGCAUUGCUGGUUGUUGA
rnacentral:lncRNA from 1 species